UCUAAUGAGAAACUCCCCCUACUGCUCCUCCAGCUCCAGCAGUGGGCUCCAUAAUCGAUUAUCUGAUGGCAAGCUGGUCAUUGACUACCUCUGUGAAGCUCUAUCCCUUCCUUACUUGCCACCCUACAAAGACACUUCUUUAGACUUCUCCCAUGGUGUCAAUUUUGCAGUAGCUGGCUCUACAGCUCUUUCAACUGACUAUUAUAUAAACAACAGAGUUGGUCAGACCCUUGUUUGGAAAGACAUACCUCAGACUGUGCAGACUCAAGUAAACUGGUUUAACAAGUUUCUCCUAAAUGUAGAAUGUAAUGGAAUGAAUCACCUAGCAUGUAAGGGUCAGCUGGAGAAUUCACUCUUCUGGGUUGGUGAGCUGGGCAUGUAUGACUAUUCUCGUACUUAUGGAUCUUCUGUUUCCAUCAAGUGGCUCAUAGAUUUAUCAGUUAGUAGUACCUGCAGGCUUGUGAAGGUAUGCAUUACAUAAAAAAACAUGCUUUAUCAUAUCAUUGCUUGGAAAAAGGGACUUGACUUCUUAGUUAGCUAAAUACAAAUCUAUCAAUAGCCCAACUUGGAUUAAGGAAUUAUACUUGAUAUGAGACACUCUGGAAUGGUUGAUCAUCUUUUUCCCUUCAAAGACUCUUCUAAAUUAAGCCAUAAACUUCUUGCCACAUAAGAAGAUGGUUCAAACAAGCUUUUGUCAGGAAAACUCAAAAUCCGAAUUCACUCAUGACAUAAGAACUUUGGCAUAUAUCAAACUUGAAUUUGAGUACUAGGAGGUUUGGAUAGGAAGAGUGGGACUAACCUAGCCUGUGUUAUGUGACAGGCAUUGUUGGACAGGGGUGCAAAGUACAUUGUGGUUCAAAGCCUUCCACCGACUGGGUGCCUCCCCUUUGACAUUUCAUUAUCCCCA
rnacentral:lncRNA from 1 species